AUGAAGAGAAAGAGGACUCUGCAUAGUUGGUUUGCAAGUAGUUCAAAUACACUUCCUAUUGUUCCUGAAUCCAGUGUUGCCCCAAUUAAUGUUAUUGUUCAGCCUACCCUCAUAGAGAACAUAAUCUCGGAUGAUCCAACAAAUGAGAGCACUAAUCCCCCGGUUGAUGAGAGCACCAAUCCCACUUCAAAUGAGAGAACCAAUCCCCCAACCGAUGAGAGCACAAACCAACCAGCACCACCAACACAAUAUAUAUUAGAAUUUCAUCCAAGUCAGAUUUUUGGUGAUCCGGCGGAUCGAAUACCAAUAGAAGAUUACGCCCCUGAAAUUCGAAGUGAAGUGAGAAGAGCUUAUUUGUUGAAAGAGCAAAACAAAGCAAGUGGGCAUAAAUUUGAAGUCACAUUGGACGGUAAAAUUUGGAGAUUUUUUCAACCACAAUGGCUAGAUAGGUUUGAUUGGUUGGAAUAUAGUGUCGCAAAGGAGGUUGCCUUUUGCUUCCCUUGUUUUCUUUUCAAGAAACCAUCACAGGCUGCUACAUUUAAUGAUGUAUUUACCAUAGAUGGUUACAAACGCUGGAAAACAGCUUUGGCAAGUUUUCAAAAACAUGUUGGUGGUCCAUCUAGUUACCACAACAUUGCUAGAGGCUUGUGUGAUGAUUUCAAGAAUCAAAGGGCCAAUGUGGCUACCAAAUUCGGAGCACAUACUAAAGAAUCUGAAAUAAAAUAUAAAAUCCGUUUGACCGCAUCAUUAGAUUGUGCAAGGUAUCUCAUAGCUCAAGGGGAAGCUUUUCGUGGACAUGAUGAGUCCUCCGAUUCCGUAAACAAAGGCAAUUUCAGGGAGUUCUUGGAUUGGUACAAAGACAGGAAUAAAGAUGUGAAAGAUGCAUUUGACAAUGGUCAAGGUAAUGCUCUUAUGAUAUGUUCAUAGAUUCAAAAGGACCUUGCUACAUGUUGUGCUUUGGAGGUAACCAAAGUCAUCAAGAAUGAGCUUGGAGAUAAGAAUUUUGCGAUACUUGUUGAUGAGGCUAGAGAUUGCUCAAUAAAGGAGCAAAUGGCAAUAAUUUUGAGAUUUUUGGAUGAUAAUGGGGAGCUUCAGGAGAGAUUUCUUGCUAUUAAGCACAUCACAGAUUGCACAUCUGCCGGAAUUAAAGAAGCAUUGUUUCAUGUCUUAAAGUACCAUGGCUUGUCUAUUAAUAGGCUACAUGGACAGGGUUAUGAUGGGGCUUCAAACAUGAGAGGAGAAUUCAAUGGUUUGCAGAAGCUAAUUCGUGAUGAGAGUCCAUAUGCUUUCUAUGUUCACUGUUUUGCCCAUCAGUUGCAACUAGUGGUUGUCACAGUGGCUCAAUGUUGUCCGGUUAUUGCUGAUUUUUUCAACUUUCUUCCCUUGAUAGUGACUCAGGUGGGUUCAUCCUGCAAAAGAAAAGAUGUAUUACUUGCAAAGCAUCAAGAUGACUUGAUAGAGAUGAUGGAGAAUUGUAAGAUAUCAUCUGGAACUGGUUUACAUCAAGAAACUAACCUAGCUAGACCAGGAGCUACUCGUUGGGGCUCACAUCUUAGAACCUUGCUUCGUGUUUACACAAUGUGGAAUGCAGUGGUGGAUGUGCUUGCAAUUGUGAUUGAGGAUGCCCGGGAACACACUUCUCAAGGUGGAGCUUCAGGUUUGUUGGUACAGAUGGAGUGCUUCCAAUUUGUGUUCAUCAUGAUAUUCUUAAUAAACUUGUUGAACAUCACAAAUAUGCUAUCACAAGCUUUGCAAAGGAAGAAUCAAGAUGUUGUUGAAGCCAUGCGUUUGAUCUUGGAUGUGAAAGAAGCUUUGCAAACUAUGAGGGACAAUGGGUAUGAGCCAUUAUGCAAACAAGCAAAACACUUUUGUGAGGAACAUGGCAUUGACGUGCCAAAUAUGGAUGAUCUUGUUGGAGCUAUGGGGCAAUCUGCUCGAAGCAAGAAUAAGGUGACUCGAGAUCAUUAUUUCAGGGUGAGCAUAUUCAAUGUUGCGAUUGAUGCAACUCUCACUGAGAUGAACCGCUGAUUCAAUGAAGUUAACACCGAGUUAGUGGAUUGCAUGUAUUGUCUUAAUCCAGCUAACAACUUCUCAAAGUUUAAUGAUGAGAAACUUAUUCGGCUUGCUGAAAUUUAUGUUGAAGAUUUUACACAAGCUGAACGGUUGUUGCUAAGAUACGAGCUUCCAACAUUCCUUACAAAUAUUAGGAGAAGUGAGGAAUUUAAUGGAUGUCCGGCUAUUUCUACUCUUGCUCGUUUGAUGGUUCAAACAAUGAAACAUAGAACUUUCCAAUUGGUAUAUCGCCUUAUCCAGUUGACAUUGAUUCUUCCAGUGGCAACUUCGUCGGUCGAGCGAAUAUUUUCAGCAAUGAAGGUCAUCAAAACCGAUUUACACAAUAAGAUAUCCGAUGAUUGGCACAAUGAUUUAAUGGUAUGCUACUGUGAGAAAAGGAUAUUCAAAAGUAUUCCAGAUGAUCAAAUUAUGAUAUGA
rnacentral:rRNA from 1 species